GCGCCCGUAGCUCAGCUGGAUAGAGCAACGGCCUUCUAAGCCGUGGGUCGCAGGUUCGAAUCCUGCCGGGCGCA
rfam:SAR92 bacterium BACL16 MAG-120619-bin48 contig00013.0_to_4_1_120619-bin48, whole genome shotgun sequence.